rnacentral:rRNA from 1 species
UACGUAGGGUGCGAGCGUUAAUCGGAAUUACUGGGCGUAAAGCGUGCGCAGGCGGUUGGUUAAGUCUGAUGUGAAAGCCCCGAGCUCAACUUGGGAAUGGCAUUGGAAACUGGCUGGCUAGAGUGUGGCAGAGGGGGGUGGAAUUCCGCGUGUAGCAGUGAAAUGCGUAGAGAUGCGGAGGAACACCGAUGGCGAAGGCAGCCCCCUGGGCUGACAGCUGACGCUCAGGCACGAAAGGCGUGGGGAGCAAACAGG